rnacentral:misc_RNA from 1 species
AAAGUCGUAACAAGGUCUCCGUAGGUGAACCUGCAGGAGGGAUCAUUACAGAGUUCAUGCCCUAACGGGUAGAUCUCCCACCCUAUGUUAUUAUUACUUUGAUUGCUUUGGGCAGGGGCCGUCAUGGCUCACGCCCGGCUUACCGGGCUCACGCUGGUAAGCGCCCGCCAGAGAACCCCAAACCCUGAAUAUUAGUGUCGUCUGAGUACUAUAUAAUAGUUAAAAAC